rnacentral:lncRNA from 1 species
CUCGUGCUAUAUAUUUACAGUUAGGCAUAUGGCACGAAAAUUAAAUUACUCCAAUUAUUAUUUUAUUGAAAAGAACUAUGACUGCACCACUGAUCUCAAAACUAAAACUGGACAGUGCACCAUUUGAAUUCGGCGAGCAAUUUUACAAGGCCAAUUUACGAGGAAAGAGGAACCGCUGGUCACCAAUUUCUUUCAAGACAAUACUUGCCGUUU